rnacentral:rRNA from 1 species
AAUAAGCGGAGGAAAAGAAACCAACAGGGAUUGCCCUAGUAACGGCGAGUGAAGCGGCAACAGCUCAAAUUUGAAAUCUGGCUCUUUCAGAGUCCGAGUUGUAAUUUGCAGAGGGCGCUUUGGCGUUGGCAGCGGUCCAAGUUCUUUGGAACAGGACGUCACAGAGGGUGAGAAUCCCGUACGUGGUCGCUAUCCUUCGCCGUGUAAAGCCCCUUCGACGAGUCGAGUUGUUUGGGAAUGCAGCUCUAAAUGGGAGGUAAAUUUCUUCUAAAGCUAAAUACUGGCCAGAGACCGAUAGCGCACAAGUAGAGUGAUCGAAAGAUGAAAAGCACUUUGGAAAGAGAGUCAAACAGCACGUGAAAUUGUUGAAAGGGAAGCGCUUGCAGCCAGACUUGCCUGUAGUUGCUUAUCCGGACUUUUGUCCGGUGCACUCUUCUAUAGGCAGGCCAGCAUCAGUUUGGGCGGUUAGAUAAAGGUCUCUGUCAUGUACCUCUCUUCGGAGAGGCCUUAUAGGGGAGACGACAUGUAACCAGCCUGGACUGAGGUCCGCGCAUCUGCUAGGAUGCUGGCGUAAUGGCUGUAAGCGGCCCGUCUUGAAACACGGACCAAGGAGUCUAACAUCUAUGCGAGUGUUUGGGUGUCAAGCCCAGACGCGUAAUGAAAGUGAACGGAGGUAAGAACCCUUUGGGUGCAUUAUCGACCGAUCCUGAUGUCUUCGGAAGGAUUUGAGUAAGAGCAUGGCUGUUGGGACCCGAAAGAUGGUGAACUAUGCUUGAAUAGGGUGAAGCCAGAGGAAACUCUGGUGGAGGCUCGCAGCGGUUCUGACGUGCAAAUCGAUCGUCAAAUUUGGGCAUAGGGGCGAAAGACUAAUCGAAC